GGAUUGUGGCUCAGUGUAGAGCACUUGACUUGCAAGUGUGAGGCACUGGGUUCAAUUCUCAGCACCA
rnacentral:tRNA from 1 species